rnacentral:rRNA from 1 species
AGUGAACGCUGGCGGUAGGCCUAACACAUGCAAGUCGAACGGCAGCACAGUAAGAGCUUGCUCUUACGGGUGGCGAGUGGCGGACGGGUGAGGAAUACAUCGGAAUCUACUUUUUCGUGGGGGAUAACGUAGGGAAACUUACGCUAAUACCGCAUACGACCUACGGGUGAAAGCAGGGGAUCUUCGGACCUUGCGCGAUUGAAUGAGCCGAUGUCGGAUUAGCUAGUUGGCGGGGUAAAGGCCCACCAAGGCGACGAUCCGUAGCUGGCCUGAGAGGAUGAUCAGCCACACUGGAACUGGGACACGGUCCAGACUCCUACGGGAGGCAGCAGUGGGGAAUAUUGGACAAUGGGCGCAAGCCUGAUCCAGCCAUACCGCGUGGGUGAAGAAGGCCUUCGGGUUGUAAAGCCCUUUUGUUGGGAAAGAAAAGCAGCAGGUUAAUACCCCGCUGUUCUGACGGUACCCAAAGAAUAAGCACCGGCUAACUUCGUG